GACCCAAUGGCACAGUUGGUUAGUGCGCCUGCUGAAAUUGAUUUGCCCGUCAAAACGUUUGCAGGAGGCCCUCGUUCGAAGCGGGGUUGGGUCA